UCUGGUGAUUUGACGCGAUGGAAACACCUCUUCCCAUUCCGAACAGAGCAGUUAAGCAUCGUAGUGCUGAUGAUACCCUUAAGUGGGGAAAGUAGGUAAUCGCCAGAA
rnacentral:rRNA from 1 species